rnacentral:rRNA from 1 species
CGGGACACGUGGUAUCCUGUCUGAAUAUGGGGGGACCAUCCUCCAAGGCUAAAUACUCCUGACUGACCGAUAGUGAACCAGUACCGUGAGGGAAAGGCGAAAAGAACCCCGGCGAGGGGAGUGAAAAAGAACCUGAAACCGUGUACGUACAAGCAGUGGGAGCCUCUUAAUGGGGUGACUGCGUACCUUUUGUAUAAUGGGUCAGCGACUUAUAUUCUGUAGCAAGGUUAACCGAAUAGGGGAGCCGAAGGGAAACCGAGUCUUAACUGGGCGUUAAGUUGCAGGGUAUAGACCCGAAACCCGGUGAUCUAGCCAUGGGCAGGUUGAAGGUUGGGUAACACUAACUGGAGGACCGAACCGACUAAUGUUGAAAAAUUAGCGGAUGACUUGUGGCUGGGGGUGAAAGGCCAAUCAAACCGGGAGAUAGCUGGUUCUCCCCGAAAGCUAUUUAGGUAGCGCCUCGUGAAUUCAUCUCCGGGGGUAGAGCACUGUUUCGGCAAGGGGGUCAUCCCGACUUACCAACCCGAUGCAAACUGCGAAUACCGGAGAAUGUUAUCACGGGAGACACACGGCGGGUGCUAACGUCCGUCGUGAAGAGGGAAACAACCCAGACCGCCAGCUAAGGUCCCAAAGUCAUGGUUAAGUGGGAAACGAUGUGGGAAGGCCCAGACAGCCAGGAUGUUGGCUUAGAAGCAGCCAUCAUUUAAAGAAAGCGUAAUAGCUCACUGGUCGAGUCGGCCUGCGCGGAAGAUGUAACGGGGCUAAACCAUGCACCGAAGCUGCGGCAGCGACACUAUGUGUUGUUGGGUAGGGGAGCGUUCUGUAAGCCUGUGAAGGUGUACUGUGAGGUAUGCUGGAGGUAUCAGAAGUGCGAAUGCUGACAUAAGUAACGAUAAAGCGGGUGAAAAGCCCGCUCGCCGGAAGACCAAGGGUUCCUGUCCAACGUUAAUCGGGGCAGGGUGAGUCGACCCCUAAGGCGAGGCCGAAAGGCGUAGUCGAUGGGAAACAGGUUAAUAUUCCUGUACUUGGUGUUACUGCGAAGGGGGGACGGAGAAGGCUAUGUUGGCCGGGCGACGGUUGUCCCGGUUUAAGCGUGUAGGCUGGUUUUCCAGGCAAAUCCGGAAAAUCAAGGCUGAGGCGUGAUGACGAGGCACUACGGUGCUGAAGCAACAAAUGCCCUGCUUCCAGGAAAAGCCUCUAAGCAUCAGGUAACAUCAAAUCGUACCCCAAACCGACACAGGUGGUCAGGUAGAGAAUACCAAGGCGCUUGAGAGAACUCGGGUGAAGGAACUAGGCAAAAUGGUGCCGUAACUUCGGGAGAAGGCACGCUGAUAUGUAGGUGAAGUCCCUUGCGGAUGGAGCUGAAAUCAGUCGAAGAUACCAGCUGGCUGCAACUGUUUAUUAAAAACACAGCACUGUGCAAACACGAAAGUGGACGUAUACGGUGUGACGCCUGCCCGGUGCCGGAAGGUUAAUUGAUGGGGUUAGCGGUAACGCGAAGCUCUUGAUCGAAGCCCCGGUAAACGGCGGCCGUAACUAUAACGGUCCUAAGGUAGCGAAAUUCCUUGUCGGGUAAGUUCCGACCUGCACGAAUGGCGUAAUGAUGGCCAGGCUGUCUCCACCCGAGACUCAGUGAAAUUGAACUCGCUGUGAAGAUGCAGUGUACCCGCGGCAAGACGGAAAGACCCCGUGAACCUUUACUAUAGCUUGACACUGAACAUUGAGCCUUGAUGUGUAGGAUAGGUGGGAGGCUUUGAAGUGUGGACGCCAGUCUGCAUGGAGCCGGCCUUGAAAUACCACCCUUUAAUGUUUGAUGUUCUAACGUUGGCCCCUGA